GAUCACCAGUUUUGGUCCAGAGGAAACAGUUCAGCGAUGGUUGUCUUGAUGCAUGAUCAUUGGAUGUAUCUCGGGUGACUGAGUCUCUAAUAGAACUGAGACUUGAACCCAACUCUCUGUGAGUCCAGAGCAUGUCCACAUUUCUCACUGGCAACCACAGCCAAUCCCCUCUCUGCAAUACCUUCUCUGCAAUGCCCAGCUCUACAACCCCUUCCCCCAUCAACUUGAGAGCAAGAGCAGGAACUUGAUCUGAACCAAAAUUCUUUUUCCACAAAUAAUUAUAGUUAAGAAUGAGGAGAAUACUAUCUGCUAAUGCAAUUAACACUAAGAUGUCAAUGGCCAUAGAUAACUCCUCCUGGGAACAGAGAUGUUUUAAAAGAAGUUACCAACCCCAAUACUCUCUCCGUAUUUGUAACCGUUUGCUUUUUACAGAGCACUUUCAUAUCAGAGCUGCCCAAUCAAUACUAGAAUAUUUAUUACACAGAUGGAGAAAUCUGGAGCUCAGGAGAGUUUUCCUCUAUUGGACAGAAACCAUAGGUGGCGAAGCUAAGAUGGAUGCCCAGAUCUUCAGUCACUGAAUCCAGGGCUCUUUCCAGUAACAAAUCACCCUGAUGAAUAGAUGGAUAUAUGUCAGGGUAUUUUUGAGUAGCAUGGGUUCUCCCUUCCUCCCCCAAGAAUGGCUCUUCGGAAAAUUUGCUCCUGCAUCCCCAUCCCCCACUGCUAAACUAAAAAAUCUUUGCCUGCUGUUUUACAGACUAAGAUUAUUUCCAAAGGGAUGGCGCUCGUCGUAAAGUUCAUGAUUGAGAACAAGAGACACUGCUGACUUUGAGCGUAUUUAAAAUGCAGUUUUAGUGGGGCCAGGUUGAAAGCUUGAAGGGAAACAGAUACGAAAUGUAAAAAAAGAGAUUGAUUUUCUAUUUCUUCAAAAAAGUAUACCCUGGAAAGCAAGACCUCCUGUUUCUCUCUACCUCCUUCCCCAUGACCUCAUCCCGCACAUGCUGCCCGCUUGAGGAUCACGCCCUUUCCAUCCCGGGAAUCAUCCACCCGACAAGUACUGGGCUCUGCUUCUCCUUCCAGCCUUUCAGCACCAAAUAUUGGACACACAUUCUUUUAGAGGCUGCGGCUGCUGCUGCCUCAUGAGACCAGCGGCCGCACACCACAGUCCACCGAGAGUGACGGAACGGGUUAUCACAGAUCAAAUUCCUACGGCAGUCACUUCCUCCCCUUAUCAGGGAAUCGGGGCUUUUUAUGAGAGACGGGGUGGAAGGCAGCCUUUGCAGAGGACCAGCAGGCCUAACGAGCCUGAUGUCUCUCACACUGCCGUCUGGGAGGGAGCUGUGCUCAGAGAGGAUGCUUUUCAAGAGGGAGAGCGGCCAGCCUGGGGCCAUUGGUCCUGUGCUCAUGCACCCACAAAGGCCAGCUGAACGCCUGUAGUUGCCAGACCCGGCCUGGGCACAGUGAGAUGAAGAGUGAGACUAGUCCUUGCCCUCAAGGAAGGCACACGGAUGAUAUGAUAAAUGUGCAGAGUGCUGUGGGGACUCUGCACUGUCUGACUGCGAGAGGACCUAGGGAUGAGCAGGUUUUACUCUAAGAAGACCAAGGCUCAGCGGAUUUAGUUAGCAUCUGUCAUGUGGCCUCCUUGAAUGGGUUGGGCUGCCAUAUCAGCGCCCACUGCUGACUUCCCGGUCAGCACACUCCCCACAGCCUCCUCCCCUGGGAAUCUCUAGGACAAAUCAGAAAAAAAAAAAAAAA
ensembl:lncRNA